rnacentral:rRNA from 1 species
AUUGAACGCUGGCGGCAGGCCUAACACAUGCAAGUCGAGCGGAUGAAGGGAGCUUGCUCCUGGAUUCAGCGGCGGACGGGUGAGUAAUGCCUAGGAAUCUGCCUGGUAGCGGGGGAUAACGUCCGGAAACGGGCGCUAAUACCGCAUACGUCCUGAGGGAGAAAGUGGGGGAUCUUCGGACCUCACGCUAUCAGAUGAGCCUAGGUCGGAUUAGCUAGUUGGUGGGGUAAAGGCCUACCAAGGCGACGAUCCGUAACUGGUCUGAGAGGAUGAUCAGUCACACUGGAACUGAGACACGGUCCAGACUCCUACGGGAGGCAGCAGUAGGGAAUAUUGGACAAUGGGCGAAAGCCUGAUCCAGCCAUGCCGCGUGUGUGAAGAAGGUCUUCGGAUUGUAAAACCCUUUUAGUUGGGAGGAAGGGCAGUAAGUUAAUACCUUGCUGUUUUGACGUUACCAACAGAAUAAGCACCGGCUAACUUCGUG